GAUGAACGCUGGCGGCGUGCCUAAUACAUGCAAGUCGAGCGAACAGACGAGGAGCUUGCUCCUCUGACGUUAGCGGCGGACGGGUGAGUAACACGUGGAUAACCUACCUAUAAGACUGGGAUAACUUCGGGAAACCGGAGCUAAUACCGGAUAACAUGUUGAACCGCAUGGUUCAACAGUGAAAGACGGUCUUGCUGUCACUUAUAGAUGGAUCCGCGCCGCAUUAGCUAGUUGGUAAGGUAACGGCUUACCAAGGCAACGAUGCGUAGCCGACCUGAGAGGGUGCACGCCAACACGAGACUGGAACACGGGCCCGGCCUCCACGGGGGGAAGCAGGUGGGGAUUCUCCCGGAGGGGGGGAAGGCCGAAGAAAGCAACGCGGGGGAAUGAAUAAAGGUCUUGGGUCCUAAAAACUUUUUGAUUGGGGAAAAAAAAAUGUGAAAGUACUUAGCCACGUCUGAAGGGUACCUAACAAAAAGCCCACGGCAAACACCGGC
rnacentral:rRNA from 1 species